UGAUAGAAAAAGGACUUGGACAAAGU
rnacentral:sRNA from 1 species